UGGAGACAUAGCUCAGCUGGGAGAGCAUUUGCUUGACGUGUAAAGGGUCGCAGGUUCGAGCCCUGUUGUCUCCAU
rnacentral:tRNA from 1 species